AAUAGGACUUUUCUGUUUUGUUUUAUGUAUCUACAAUUUUGUAUUUAUUCAUAAUUAAGUUGACCUUUUUUGGCUUGUAAUUUUGAUGUCUCUGCAAUUUCAUUAAGGGGUUGAGAGGUUAAAUCACAAUCUCUAAGCAAAAGUUGACAUGUCAUCAACAUACACACUUCGAUAUACCAAAUAAUUGUUUUACUUUGACAGAAAUUGCAUGUCUUGUCAACCAGACCUUGGAGAUAAAAAUUCUGAACAUAAUUCCAAACCACCUAGGAAAAAUUCUGUCUUUUUCUCUAUCUUCAUUUGGAUUUAUGACUUUUUAAAAAAGUAUAAAUAUAAAUAUGUGAUGGAGAAUAAAACUAUUUUGUGGAAUGGGUUACAUAAGGUCCAUGAAGCUAAGAUAAUCCAUCUCAAAUACUUUGUUUCCAAAUCUGCUUCCUCACAAGUCUGAACACUUUGCUUGCUUUGAUCUGACCAGGAAUCAUGGCUGAAGCUGUUCUCACUGUUGUCCUAGAGAAUCUGAGCUCAUUCAUCCAAAAGCAAAUUGGAUCUGCUUUGGGUGGAGAAAGAGAUGGAAAAGAUGUGGAGCAUGCUCUCAAACAUUUCUGCUGUGAUUGAAGAUGUUGAGGAGAGACAAUCGAAAAAUUGUUCUAUCAAGAAUAUAUUGGCUGCAAAAGUUGGAAGAUGUUUCUCUUGAGUUGGAGGAUGUUCUGGAUGAUUGUGAAGCAGAAGCCUUCCGUUUGGAGGAGAAUAGUCUAGAACAUGAUCAUCAACAUCAGUGGAUCCAUAAGAUAAUUCCCGCUUCAAGCUUCUAUUGGGUUCUUACACCUACGGAAUAAUAGAUUUUAUAUACGAGUACGCUACUCUGGCUAUUUCUUGGAUUGGCGACUGACCCUACAGACCAACGUGAGUGUUUCCAGCGUGUUUUGUCCUCACUCGCACGCUUCUUGGGAAAACCUCCUAAGAAGUCAACCAUCUUGAAAUUACCCCAAGUCAAGCACGCUUAACUGUGGAGUUCUUUUGUGAUGGGCUACCAAUCAAUCCAUUUAAGCCCUCUUUAACUGUGCAAUCUCAUACCUACAUAGUCUCAGAAUCAUCACACUUGACCUUCUCCAAGCGAUGUGGGAUUGUACAGCUUACUCAGUAUGUCCCCUUACAGAUCACGGGACUAUUGACUGUCACAAUUAAAACAUUCGAUAAAAUUGGAACGAUAAAGAGAAGAUUAGCAUGGCCCCUGCACAAGGAUGACACGCACAAAUUGAGAAAUGGUCCAAAUUUUUUGUGAUUCUGACAAUCAGAAGUCUCGUAAUUCGUGCUACACUUAAAUUAAUUUAAAUCAUAUACUAUAUUUAGGUGGAAGGUAAAGGUAUAUAAAGAAACUCUCAAAAUUGAGUAAAUUUUAAUAAAAUAUAAUAUAAAAUUUGUUAAUUCCAUUUUUGGCAUAUUUAAUUGACAAAAAUAUUUUAUUAUUCAUUGUAUAUUUUCGGCUGGUAUACAUUAAUAUGGUUUCCUAUUUGGUGUAUUCAAACUUUCAAAGUUGUCUAGCUUUCCUAUUUUUGGAAAAAAGGUAAAAAUGGUAAGUUUGGUUACCCAUUUCGUUUUUAUCUAACCAGCUGUGUAAUCUGAUCUUGUGUUGAGUUUCCCAUUUUCUUAGAUCAGGUUUCUUGAAGAGAAAACCAGAGCUAAACUUUCCUUUUCUAUAAAAGGAAAGUUGUAGUUACUGCCCACGAUUACUCAAGUGUACGGAAACGGAAAUUCUGGGCGAUUGAAGAAUUAUUUUAGGGAAGUUUCUAGUGGGUUGAGGUCUUGUUCAGACCGAAUGUAAGCUGUCUAUGAGAUGUAUAUUCAUUAUAAAUACAUCUUAUAGCUGCUAGGUUUUGCAUCUCUUUCAUACACUUAGAAUUGCUUUCAUAUCUUAAGGAAAGAAUGUCUUUGUUUAGUACCUCUCUUGGUACCUCUCUUGUAUCUUUGAAUUCCAUUCAUAUCUUUAGAAAAGAGAGUCUUUGAUUUGUAGAGAAGAGUUGUUCUACUCUUACUCUGUUUAUUUGUUGUUUGUAUUGUCUUGAGUCUGUAUUCAAGUCUACAACGAAGAAGAACAUCAGUGCACCUUCGGGAGAAGGGUAUUUACAAGCUUUUGGGAGAUUGCUUUUGAAGUCUUGCAUCGGGAGGAUACAAGCACACAACCUUCGGGAGAUGGUUGUAUAGGCUUUCGGGAGAUAGCCUUUAAGCCUUGAAUCGGGAGGAUUCAAGCACUCUUCAAGGUGAUCGAAGGGAGUUCGAGCACUUAGAGUUUUAUCAAGAUUCGGUUAGUAGGUGGAAUACAUCAAGCUUGCGGCAUACAAUAAGAGGGAGUCUAUUUAUGCAUAAGUCAAUUACUUUGUAUUUUUGAUACCGAU